CCGGCAUAGGUGGCUCGAUGGACUCCAUUGUUGAUGAUGGGGUCGAUGAUAAGGUCAUAAACAACCUGGAUUUCGAUCCAUUUCUUGUAAGAGCUGGUAAUUUUAAGUUUAAAUUGUGAAAGAUGGAUUUAGGAAACUGGGUUUUGUUUCUUGUUGCUGUUGUUAGAAUGCAUGGUAAAGGACCAAUAGCAGAAGCAGCUCUAAGAACAUCCAUGGCUGACUAUAUCUUCUUUUAUUUUCUUCGUCUUUUAAAACACUCUAUUGGUUCUUCAAAGCUUAAGCAAAGAGGAGAAAGAAAGAACUUGAGGCUGUGAGGAAAUGAAACUGAGUGAUGUGAUGUGAUCUUAGUGAGGCUAAAAAUGAAUUAAAUAGUAAUCAAUGAACACUCCCAAAGCAAAGACUUUGAAGGUUUGCAUUUUGCAAAAGUCAACAUGACUUUGUAGGAUUACAAUUCACUAGACUUCUCCGUCUCGAAAAUGAAUGGGAUAUGAAUAAAAAUAUAUAUCAAAAAAUAGAUUUAGGCAAAAAAAGAAGGUUGAUUUUCUAAACAGAUUGUAUCUCGAGUAAGUUUUUUUGGCCUAAGUCCGGCUUGGCUCGGAUACCCUUAACAAAGUAUCGAUACCUUUUUCAAAAGUAUCGACACCCUGCUUGAGAAUCAAUACCUUGGGGAAGGUAUCGAUAUCUCAUAAUAAGUAUCGAUACAUUCCCUAUUGUAUCAAUAUUAUAGGCUUUAAUAUGGGCUGAAAAGGAUCAGGCCCAAGUUUAGCAUCUAUAACCUAGGUUGGGUUUGGGCAAAAAUUUAGGUCAAUUUUUCGAACCAAGCCCGAGCCUAUUAAUUGGACCUAAAAUUUUAUUAGGGCUUAACCCGAACCAACCCAUGAACAACUCUUCGAGGGAGGAACCAAUAAAAUAAAUGUGUUGAAAUUAGGCUCAACUUAUACUACUUUAAAUAAUAACUUUUUUAAAUUCAGAAGAAUCUUGAUCACCAAAAUUAACAUGUGAAAAUUAAAAUUAACUUAUACAACAAAAAAAAAGUUAAAUGUUCAAUUUGUAUUAAAUAUUUUAAUUAUUUAAGCAUUAACUAUUUUACCAAAUUAAUAUUUAAAUACUACUUUGUAUUAGUUUAUCAAAUUAAACUAAAAAUAUUAUUAAAUUUAUCGUAAAAAUUUAUAAUUCUAUAAAAGAAAUCAAGUUAAAAGAAACUCUGGAAAACUUUGGGGGUGGAACACAAAUUUACCCUAUUUUUAAGCAUUAAUUAUAAGGUCAAUAAAAAAUUUUAAAAUUUAAAUGGGUUGAAUUGAAAUUUUAUAAAAUUUAGACGGCAUCCCUAGUGGUAAGAUGAAAAGUCAUCGUAUCAGGUGGAUAAAAAGAUAAGAGAGUGGUUAAAAGGAAGAGAAAGAAAGUAGGAAAAAUGUUCUCUUGUAUUGGUCUCUUCAGUGCAAUGAUAAGUCGUAUAUAUGACAUCUCACAUGUCAUGACCUCACUAGCAAAAAGGUCACGUCUUGUCUUCUCACAGGCGCGGCAAUGCGAAUUCAUAGGUGAGUAAUGCAACGUCUUAAGAUGGUUAAACAAUUAAUGGGUGUAAUUUUACAUGUACUCUUAACGAAGCUAGUCUAUAAUGAAGGUUCGUUCACCUUACUAUAGAGCCACUCGAUGUUAUGAGUUCAACCAAUAGGAUUAGAUUUUUUAAAACCUUGUUCAUGGCAUGUAAUCUAGAACAUUUAAAAGUAGAGUUGAAAACACAUAAAAUAUGUAUAUUUAAUUUCUAAUCAUUGUUGGUAUAGGAAAAGAAAAAGAAAAAGAUAGUUCAACUAGCUUUUAACCUUACAUACAAAGUAAAGGGUGCCAUAUUCACAUAAACUUACACAAAAGCAUGGUUAUAGUCAUGGUAAUGAAAAUUCUUGUAAAUGAAAUGAGCCAACCAUUUUGAAGCUGCAAAACAAACGAUAGCCAUUGAUACCAUUGUUGUUUUAACCACCAUUGAUAUCAUGUUUUGCUUUGUUACAGCAACGAUGCCAAUCAAACCAACAGACAUGAUUUGUAGUAUUACUUCGAGUGCCUUGAGACAUUAUGUGCAGUAUUACAACUCUUACAAUUCACCACAUGACUCCAAUACCUGCAAAACAAGAACAAAGGUUAUAAGGUAUGUUACCCGGGUUCAGAGCGUUGGAUUCACGUACAUAUUCGAUACAGGUAUGUUCAUAUGUUAGGAUACAAGCUCCCAUAUUUCGAGAAAAGUGAAGAGUCAGAGCAAUAUAAGGACAAAGUUACUAAAUUUACCUGUCCAUUAGUUGUUCUCUAGGAGGGGACGGAGGAAGAGCUCCACUAUACUUCCCUUUCCAAUCAAUCUCACCGCCGGCAUACUUGUUGAACCACCUUCGGAAACCGACUACUAAGGCAUCCGACUUUGUAGGCACGAAACAAGCUUUUUGCCAACUGGUAGCCCCGAUUUCCAUUAUUUUACGCUCCUACAUGGAGAAAUAAGGUGUAAAACAAAACGAAGUUUACCAGGCAAGAAUAUUUGCAUAUAGCUAUGUGUUAAACAUGAGUUCUUCAUAUAUUUAGAGGGUCCUUAAAAGUUGAUUGUCCAAAUAAGCAUGGAAUAUGAUUGUCAGAUACUGAGUACUCAUAAAAAAAGUGAAUGUACCUAAGAGGCCUCUCUGUUAUAGGGAUUUGAUCAAAUUAGUCCUUCAACUAUUAAAUAGAUCAAUUUAGUCCCUUUACUAUUAAAAAGAAUCAAAUAAGACCAAAUUAGAAUAGAGUUAAAAUUUACUAUUUUAAAAAGUUAAUAUUUUUAAAGUUUUUACGAUUUUGUAAAUAAAAUCUUUUGUUUAGAUUUGAGUUGCAAUUGAAAAAUAAUAAUUUUCAAUACAUUUUUUAGAUAGUGAAUGUUAACUCUAUUACAAUUUGGACUUAUUUGAUUCUUUUUAAUACUAUAAGGACUAAAUUAAUCCAUUUAAUAAUAGAGGGGACUAAUUUGAUCCAGUACCUAUACAGGUACUUUAACCCAUAAACAAAUGAAAAGUCGAAGCCAUAUAGAUUUUUUGAAUGAAACUCAUCAAAGAGCCAGAGAUAUAGGAAUCACCUCAACAUGAAGAAGAUACAAAUCGGAAUCAAGAAUCAAGUUUAGUCCAAUGUGAAUUAUCCAUCUUGGAACCAUUUUGUCAAUCGAAACACCAAAGUUUCUCGGGAAAGUCCAAAUCAAUCUACUAUUACCUGGACUAACCGGAACACACAUAAAAAUCAAAGAAAAUCUUCGAUUCGGUGGCAGUGCCUGCAAAAAAAUACUUCUUUAUUGGUAAACAACACUCGGAAAACAAAUAAUAUACUGGACCUGACAGUCCACCGGUUCAACCAGUUCAACCUGCUGAUAAAUAGCAAUAUAUAGUGAAGUGAAUGCAGAACCUUUACAAUUUCGGAAGAUGUUGCAGAUCCAUUUUCUUGAUCAACUUCGACAUCAGUAAAAGCAUGAAAGAUGCAAGGUGCAAUAAAGUUAGAACUAUCCAAAUCUUGCUUUCCAAGAAAACCAUUUAUGUCCAACUUCUUAACUUUCAUAUCAAGUGGUCUACCCCCUUCUCUAUCAACCUUCACUGUGAACCAAAAUGUGCAAUUUUAGAUGCAAGAAUUCGAUAUCGCGAAAAUACAUACAUCAAGAACCUCUUACCGGUUGGGGUCCGAGUGCACAUUAUACCAUAAUGUGCAUAUGGAACAUGAGCAGGAUCCAUAAGAUUUUCAACCAGUACCUCGUACCUGAAAAUGCAAACUUAGUUUCUUCAACAAAUUUCAGCAACUAUUGAUGAUUUACAUCCACUACAUUACUCUCUUCAUUUUUCUUAGAGUACUCGCAUAAUUUGCAUACCCAUAAGGGAUAUCUCUGUUUACCAUCGACUUUGAAAAUGAAGGAUCAUCUAAUACAGGAAAGUAAGGAGGCUUUUUCUUUGUUAUAAUAUCUUUGUAUUGAGGAUCAGCAUUUGGCCAAACCCAUACAAUAUCAUGUUGCACAACACUUGGAUAAACAGCCACACAUGCUUUCUUGAAUGUAUGGACCUGCAAAUUUGAAAACCAAAGUUAAAAUAAGAGAACCCUUUUUGCCAAUAAUGCCACACAUUACAAGCAAUUGCUUAUUACUGUUGAGGGGAGGCCGGACUCUUUAUUAGGAGAAGUUUUCAAAGUAUCAUGAGCAGACGAACCCCUCAAUGGUUGAGGUAUUGUGCUCAAGGUGUCUAUGCUCGGUUUGUCUCUCGACUCCGCAGGGAGCCCUGACAGGUCCAUAAAGUGAGAACACCUUGCCCACCAAGGAAAUAAGAGCAUUUGGCCUUGGUGGGUUUGAAACCAUGCCCUUAUAUGGCAUUAGUAGGUAAGAAUAGUACCACUUGAGCUAGUGACCUCCCCUCAACAAUUAUAAUAUCAACACUUUAAAAGAGGAUCAGUAUGUAAAUACACUAUACUAAUUGAAGUUAGGAGAUUAGUGAAGAAUACUAUACGUCCACACAUUCAUUUUUCUUAAAAUAGUCGUGUCUGACAUUCAAUCCAACACACAAAUUCGUAGAUAUGAUCCCGAGUCGUAUCUUCAAAUAUAUACAUGUAUUCAAUACUCAUACCCGAGUCAGAGUAAACACCCAUACCUAUGUCCUUACAUGUAUAGAUAUAUCAUACAUGUAGGAGAAUUAAACCCCAGAAAGUUCCAAAUAAUCCUAACAUUAGAACAGCAAAAACAGAACAUAAUUAAACAUGAUGAUAUGAACUAAAAGAAAAGGGUUACCGGGGGUCCAUCUACGGGAGCUUGAGGAAUGAUUUUGCAGUCACCGUUGCCACCAAAACACCAACCAUGGUACACACAUUGUAACCUCCCCCAUUGAUCAAUUCUUCCCUCAGAUAAAGGAGCUAAUCUAUGAGGACAAGUAUCAUCGAACACUUUCCAUUCAUUCUCGUUCUUAUCCCACCAAACCACUAGAUCAAGUCCUAAUACUUUCUUACCAUGUGGCACCCUCUUAUCCAAAUCACUUACAGGCAUCACCGGAUACCACUGUGAGUACCAAUCGAAUCUCUCUUUACCGACCUCAGCCUCAACUUCCGGCAUAGGUGGCUCAAUAGACUCCGUUGUUGAUAUUGGGGACGAUGAUAAGGUCGUAAACAACCUGGAUUUCGAUCCAUUUCUUGUAAAACAUGGUAAUUGUAAGUUCAAAUUGUGAAAGAUGGGUUUAGAAAACUGGGUUUUGUUUCUUGUUGUUGUUGGAAUGUAUGGUGAAUAAACUAUGGUAGGAGAAGCUUUGAGAACAUCCAGGGAGGAUUAUAUAUGUUGGUUUAUUUUUCUUUUGUAUUUUAACGAUUAUGGCGUUCUUAAAAAGCUUAAAAGCAAAGAGAAAACGAAGAAGAGUGAAAGAACUUGAGGCUGAAAGAGGAUGAGCGUGUGAGUAAAUGAAACGCGUGAUGGAGGUAGACUGUGUGAGUAAAGAACUUGAGGCUGUGAGGAAAUGAAACUGAGUGAUGUGAUGUGAUCUUAGUGAGGCUAAAAAUGAAUUACAAAACAGUGCUUAUUGAAAAGUCGAGGAAAUAAAACAACAAAUAGUAAUCAAUGAACACUCCCAAAGCAAAGACUUUGAAAUGUUUGCAUUUUGCAAAAGUCAACAUGACUUUGUAGGAUUACAAUGGUAGGAUUACAAUUGACUAGAUUUCUCCGUCUCGAAAGUGAGCUAAAAAAUGAGAAAGUUUGGGUAAAAAUAUAUAUUAAAAAGUAAAUUUAGGCAAAAAAUAAGGUUCAUUUUUUAAACAGAUCGUAUCUCGGAUAAGUUUUUUUGACCUAAGCCCGGCCUGGCUCAGAUACCCUUAACAAAGUAUCGAUACCCUUCCCAAAAGUAUCGACACCCUGCUUGAGAAUCAAUACCUUAGGGAAGGUAUCGAUAUCUCAUAAUAAGUAUCGAUACAUUUCCUAUUGUAUCAAUAUUAUAGGCUUUAAUAUGGGCCGAAAAGGAUCGGACCCAAGUUUAGCAUCUAUAAUCUAGGUUGAGUUUGGGCAAAAAUUUAAGCCUAUUUUUUGAAUCGAGCCCGGGCUUAUUAAUUGGACCUAAAAUUUUAUUAGGGCUUAACCCGAACCAGCCCAUGAACAACUCUACGAGGGAGGAACCAAUAAAAUAAAUGUGUUGAAAUUAGGCUCAAUUUAUACUACUUUAAAUAAUAGCUUUUUUAAAUUCGGAAUAAUCUUGAUCGCCAAAAUUAACAUGUGAAAAUUAAAAUUAACUUUUAGAAAGAAAAAAAAAGUUAAAUAUUCAAUUUGUAUUAAAUAUUUUAAUUAUUUAAGCAUUAAAUAUUUUACCAAAUUAAUAUUUAAAUCCUACUUUGUAUUAGUUUAUCAAAUUAAACUAAAAAUAUUAUUAAAUUUAUCAUAAAAAUUUAUAAUUUUAUAAAAAAAUCAAGUUAAAAGAAACUCUGGAAAACUUUGGGGGUGGAACACAAAUUUACCCUAUUUUUAAGCAUUAAUUAUAAGGUUAAUAAAAAAAAUUAAAACUUAAAUGGGUUGAAUUGAAAUUUUAUAAAAUUUAGGGGCAUCCUGUAAUGCCCCUUACCCGUAUUCAACGCCGAAACAGGGUUCGAGGCAUUACCGGACUUAAACACAAGAAAUCAUACGAUUCCGAGCCAUGAGAAUUAAUCUACAUUAAAACCAUUCAAAAACAAUAUGCUCAACAUUCAAUAACAUAAUUCAACUUGCAUGCAUGAUACAAGACUUUAUCACUUCACUUACUCCUUUGCAACUUUACCACAUUUCAAUCACAUACCGAACACAUUACUCAUGAGUAUACACAUAUAUAUAUAUAUGCACUUAUCACCACAUAGUCACACAUAAUUUCACUUAGUCGAUUUUCCCGAUGAACACUUCGGAAUAAUAACAGAUACACGGUGGUUCCGCACAUAGCACCACCCUUAUGAUCAAUGCUAUCCGGUAUACAUAGUAGCCUACACUUAGUACUACACAUAUGACCAAUACCAUCCGAUACACGUAGUAGCCUGCACAUAGUACUACACACGUGACCGAAGCUAUCCAGUACACAUAGUAGCCUGCACUUAAUAUUACAUAUGUGACCAUAACUAUCUUAUACUCAUAGUAGCCUACACAUAGUACUACACAUGAUUUCUCAUGAUGUCUUUCGUAUCCUUUUCUAUUCUGAAAGUUCAACCGGGAAAUUUGUCACUUAUUCUCACUUUGUCAAUUUCAACCAUAGUCAAUCUCAAUUCAUAAUUUACAUCAAAUAAUCAUUCAAUAUACAACCACAUCUCAUGUAAUAUAACAAAAUAUUAUAACAUAAGUAAAAACGAUAUAUUAUUUACAUACAAACUAGAGGUGAUCAUGGGUUGGGCUACCCAGCCCGGCCCGACGACCCGCCCGAAAAAUGGGAGGGUUUGGGUAAAAAUAUAGACCCGAAAUAUAGGUUUGGGCAAAAAAACGAGGCCCCUUGGGUAAAAUUAUUUUGGUCCAAGCCCGGCCUGAAUUAUAUAUUAAAUAUUUAUUUUUUAUUUUUAAUCAAUUAUAUAUAUUUUAUAUAUAUUUAAUAUGGGUCGGGCCGGGCCAGGCUCAGCAAUUUUUUUCGGGCCGGGCUUGGACAAAUUUUUAGGCCCAUAUUUCGGGCCAAGCAGGGCCCGAGCCUAGAAAAUGGGCCUAAAUUUUUAUCUGGGCCAGGCCCAAACUCAGCCCAGUCCGCCCCAUGAUCACCUCUAAUACAAACUUACCUCGACACCAAAAGGGCAAAAAGGGACAUAACCGUCAAUUCUCGUUUUUCCCCCGUUCUAGGUCCGAACCUCAUUUUCUUUGAUCUAUAAUAUCAUAUUUAGCCUAAUUAUUAGUCACAUUAUUCAAAUCAGUCCACAAUUCAUAUGUUGGUAAAAUUAUUGUUUUGCCCCUAAACUUUCACAUAUUUACAAAUUAGUCCCUAGGCUCGUAAAACGAAAUUUAUGGAAUUUCAUCCAUAUCAAAGACUAACCGAAUUAUUUAGGUGCUCAUAGCAGCCCAUAUAAUCCCCAAUUUCACUCAUAUAACUCAAAAUCUUCAUACUUUACAAAUUAACCCCUAAUAGCAUUUUACAACAAAAAUCACUUAACAAGAAAUGUUCAACACACAACAAGGUUUCAUUUUACUCCAUUAAACUUCACAAUCAACUAUCAUGCUUUCAUUUCCCAAAACCCUAGCCUUUCAAUCAUCUUGCAAAUUAGUCCCCUAUUUAGCUAGCUUAAGCUUCAAUGGUUCCAAAAACAUAUAAAUCAACAAAAACAAACAUAAAUUUCACUUACAUGCAAGGGUUUAAAUUUGCUAAAAAUUUGAGUUCUCCAAUGGCUAUUCUCUUGGUAAAAAACGGUGGAAGAAGAUGAGCAAAUGAAUAAAAAUAAUAUUUUUAUUUCUUUUUGUUUAUUUUAUCAUAUUUCGUUAUGUAUAGAUGAUGAGAUUCCAUUGAUACAGAGCCAAUUCCAAUAGACUUAUUGGAGGGUCCCAUUGGCGUGCAUCCAGUAGGAAUUGAACCUACGAAUUCGCCAAUUAUGAGUUGGGCGCUUUAACCAUUCAGCCAUGGAUGCUUAGCGAGGAUCCUCGUACAUGGUGAAUAACCAAAUUCCAAUUGGAUUGAAAUCUUUAGGAUAAAUCAAUGCAAUUUUGGAGGAAUCAAUGAAAGGACAUCAAUUCAAAUCCUGGAUUUUCGAAUUGAGAGAGAUCAAGAAUUCUCACUAUUUCUUAGAUUCAUGGACUCAAUUCAAUUCAAUGGGAUCUUUCAUUCACAUUUUUUUCCACCAAAAAUGUUUUAUAAAACUCUUAGACCCCCGAAUUUGGAGUAUCCUACUUUCACGCAAUUCACACCAACCUAACCCAUCCAACAUCAUAAUUACACUCCAUGUGCAUCCACUUUCUCUUUUAAUGAUCUAAUUACUCAAUAAGGACCUCAAAUUUUAAGUUCUAUAGCUAAUUAACACAUUUAGCUAAUAGAACAUAACUUUAGCACUUUACGCGAUUUAGUCCUUUUGACUAAAUUGAGUGCCCAAAAGUCGAAAUUUUCAAACGAUAUUUCACGAAAUUAUUCCGUAAAAUUGUAGACUAUAAAAAUAUAGUAAAAUAAAUUUUCUUACGUCGGAUUUAGGGUCCCAAAAUUACUAUUCCGACUAGGCCCAAAAUCGGGUUGUUACACAUCCCUAGUGGUAAGGUGAAAAGUCAUCGUGUGGAUAAAAAGAUAGAGAGAGUGGUUAAAAGAAAGAGAAAGAAAGUAGGAAAAAUGUUCUCUUGUAUUGUUUUUAUAGUCUCUUCCGUGCAAUGAUAAGUCGUAUAUAUGACAUCUCACAAUGUUCUCUUGUAUUGUUUUUAUAGUCUCUUCAGUACAAUGAUAAAUCAUAUAUAUGACAUCUCACAUGUCAUGACAUCACUAGCAAAAAGGUCACGUCUUGUCUUCUCACAGGUGCGGGAAUGCGAAUUCAAAGGUGGGUAAUGCAACGCCUUAAUAUGGUUAAACAAUUAACGGGUGUAAGGUUACAUAUACUCUUAACGAAGUUAGUCUAUAAUGAAGGUUCGUUCACCUUACCAUAGAGCCACUUGAUGUUAUGAGUUCAAUCAAUAGAAUUAGAUUUUUUAAAACCUUGUUCAUGGCAUGUAAUCUAGAACAUUUAAAUGUAGAGUUGAAAACACAUAAAAUAUGUAUAUUUAAUUUCUAAUCAUUGUUGGUAUAGAAAAAAAAAAAAGAUGUUCAACUAGCUUUUAACCUUACAUACAAAGUAAAGGGUGUCAUAUUCACAUAAACUUACACAAAAGCAUGGUUAUAGUCAUGGUAAUGAAAAUUCUUGUAAAUGAAAUGAGCCAACCAUUUUGAAGCUGCAAAACAAACGAUAGCCAUUGAUACCAUUGUUGUUUUAACCACCAUUGAUAUCAUGUUUUGCUUUGUUACAGCAACGAUGCCAAUCAAACCAACAGACGUGAUUUGUAGUAUUACUUCGAGUGCCUUGAGACCUUUAUGUGCAGUAUUACAACUCUUACAAUUCACCACAUGACUCCAAUACCUGCAAAACAAGAACAAAGGUUAUAAGGUAUGUUACCCGGGUUCAGAGCGUUGGAUUCACGUACAUAUUCGAUACAGGUAUGUUCAUAUGUUAGGAUACAAGCUCCCAUAUUUCGAGAAAAGUGAAGAGUCAGAGCAAUAUAAGGACAAAGUUACUAAAUUUACCUGUCCAUUAGUUGUUCUCUAGGAGGGGACGGAGGAAGAGCUCCACUAUACUUCCCUUUCCAAUCAAUCUCACCGCCGGCAUACUUGUUGAACCACCUUCGGAAACCGACUACUAAGGCAUCCGACUUUGUAGGCACGAAACAAGCUUUUUGCCAACUGGUAGCCCCGAUUUCCAUUAUUUUACGCUCCUACAUGGAGAAAUAAGGUGUAAAACAAAACGAAGUUUACUAGGCAAGAAUAUUUGCAUAUAGCUAUGUGUUAAACAUGAGUUCUUCAUAUAUUUAGAGGGUCCUUAAAAGUUGAUUGUCCAAAUAAGCAUGGAAUAUGAUUGUCAGAUACUGAGUACUCAUAAAAAAAGUGAAUGUACCUAAGAGGCCUCUCUGUUAUAGGGAUUUGAUCAAAUUAGUCCUUCAACUAUUAAAUAGAUCAAUUUAGUCCCUUUACUAUUAAAAAGAAUCAAAUAAGACCAAAUUAGAAUAGAGUUAAAAUUUACUAUUUUAAAAAGUUAAUAUUUUUAAAGUUUUUACGAUUUUGUAAAUAAAAUCUUUUGUUUAGAUUUGAGUUGCAAUUGAAAAAUAAUAAUUUUCAAUACAUUUUUUAGAUAGUGAAUGUUAACUCUAUUACAAUUUGGACUUAUUUGAUUCUUUUUAAUACUAUAAGGACUAAAUUAAUCCAUUUAAUAAUAGAGGGGACUAAUUUGAUCCAGUACCUAUACAGGUACUUUAACCCAUAAACAAAUGAAAAGUCGAAGCCAUAUAGAUUUUUUGAAUGAAACUCAUCAAAGAGCCAGAGAUAUAGGAAUCACCUCAACAUGAAGAAGAUACAAAUCGGAAUCAAGAAUCAAGUUUUGUCCAAUGUGAAAUAUCCAUCUUGGAACAAUUUUGUCAAUCCAAACACCGAAGUUUCUCGGGAAAGUCCAAAUCAAUCUACUAUUACCUGGACUAACCGGAACACACAUAAAAAUCAAAGAAAGUCUUCGAUUCGGUGGCGGUGCCUGCAAAAAAAUACUUCUUUAUUGGUAAACAACACUCGGAAAACAAAUAAUAUACUGGACCUGACAGUCCACCGGUUCAACCAGUUCAACCUGCAGAUAAAUAGCAAUAUAUAGUGAAGUGAAUGUAGAACCUUUACAAUUUCGGAAGAUGUUGCAGAUCCAUUUUCUUGAUCAACUUCGACAUCGGCAAAAGCAUGAAAGAUGCAAGGUGCAAUAAAGUUAGAACUACCCCAAUCUUGCUUUCCAAGAAAACCAUUUAUGUCCAACUUCUUAACUUUCAUAUCAAGUGGUCUACCCCCUUCUCUAUCAACCUUCACUGUGAACCAAAAUGUACAAUUUUAGAUGCAAUAAUUCGAUAUCGCGAAAAUACAUACAUCAAGAACUUCUUACCGGUUGGGGUCCGAGUGCGCAUUAGACCAUAAUGUGCAUAUGGAACAUGAGCAGGAUCCAUAAGAUUUUCAACCAGUACCUCGUACCUGAAAAUGCAAACUUAGUUUCUUCAACAAAUUUCAGCAACUAUUGACGAUAUACGUCCACUACAUUACUCUCUUCAUUUUUCUUAGAGUACUCGCAUAAUUUGCAUACCCAUAAGGGAUAUCUCUGUUUCCCAUCAACUUUGAAAAUGAAGGAUCAUCUAAUACAGGAAUGUAAGGAGGCUUUUUCUUUGUUAUAAUAUCUUUGUAUUGAGGAUCAGCAUUUGGCCAAACCCAUACAAUAUCAUGUUGCACAACACUUGGAUAAACAGCCACACAUGCUUUCUUGAAUGUAUGGACCUGCAAAUUUGAAAACCAAAGUUAAAAUAAGAGAACCCUUUUUGCCAAUAAUGCCACACAUUACAUGAAAUUGCUGAUUACUGUUGAGGGGAGGCCGGACUCUUUAUUAGGAGAAGUUUUCAAAGUAUCAUGAGCAGACGAACCCCUCAAUGGUUGAGGUAUUGUGCUCAAGGUGUCUAUGCUCGGUUUGUCUCUUUGUCUCUCGGGGAGGCCUGACGGGUCCAUAAAGUGAGAACACCUUGCCCACCAAGGAAAUAUGAGCAUUUGGCCUUGGUGGGUUUGAAACCAUGCCCUUAUAUGGCAUUAGUAGGUAAGAAUAGUACCACUUGAGCUAGUGACCUCCCCUCAACAAUUAUAAUAUCAACACUUUAAAAGAGGAUCAGUACGUAUAUACACUAUACUAAUUGAAGUUGGGAGAUCAGUGAAGAAUACUAUAUGUCCACACAUUCAUUUUUCUUAAAAUAGUCGUGUCUGACAUUCAAUCCAACACACAAAUACGAAGAUAUGAUCCCGAGUCAUAUCUUAAAAUAUAUACAUGUAUUCAAUACUCAUACCCGAGUCAGAGUAAACACCCAUACCUAUGUCCUUACAUGUAUAGAUAUAUCAUACAAGUAGGAGAAUUAAACCCCAGAAAGUUCCAAAUAAUCCUAACAUUAGAACAGCAAAAACAGAACAUAAUUAAACAUGAUGAUAUGAACUAAAAGAAAAGGGUUACCGGGGGUCCAUCUACGGGAGCUUGGGGAAUGAUUUUGCAGUCACCAUUGCCACCAAAACACCAACCAUGGUACACACAUUGUAACCUCCCCCAUUGAUCAAUUCUUCCCUCAGAUAGAGGAGCUAAUCUAUGAGGACAAGUAUCAUCGAACACUUUCCAUUCAUUCUCGUUCUUAUCCCACCACACCACUAGAUCAAGUCCUAAUACUUUCUUACCAUGUGGCACCCUCUUAUCCAAAUCACAUACAGGCAUCACCGGAUACCACUGUGAGUACCAAUCGAAUCUCUCUUUACCGACCUCAGCCUCAACUUCCGGCAUAGGUGGCUCAAUAGACUCCGUUGUUGAUAUUGGGGACGAUGAUAAGGUCGUAAACAACCUGGAUUUCGAUCCAUUUCUUGUAAAACAUGGUAAUUGUAAGUUCAAAUUGUGAAAGAUGGGUUUAGAAAACUGGGAUUUGUUUCUUGUUGUUGUUGGAAUGUAUGGUGAAUAAACAAUGGUAGGAGAAGCUUUGAGAACAUCCAUGGAGGAUUAUAUAUGUUGGUUUAUUUUUCUUUUGUAUUUUAACGAUUAUGGCGUUCUUAAAAAGCUUAAAAGCAAAGAGGAAAACGAAGAAGAGUGAAAGAACUUGAGGCUGAAAGAGGAUGAGCGUGUGAGUAAA
rnacentral:lncRNA from 1 species